AAAUUAAAAUUAUAUAAUACAAAAACAACUGAAACACUGUUUAUCCUGCUUGAUUUGUUUAAUUUCGUUUGGACCAUUUCACCCGUGGGAAGAAAAUUUGCAACGGAACUCCGCCGCUCCCAAUUCGAGAACUCCUCACUCUAACUCCGAAUACCAACAAGAAGCCGGAAGACUGAAGAUCGCAUUUUGGAUUCUAAUUUCGCAGACUUUGUCGAGUUGCUGCUUGAGCUGAAGCAGCUAAAGUUGAGUGUUUUAAUUAGUUGUAUAUGUCACCCAGUUUACUCGUUCCUACUGCUGCUCAACAGGGAUGAGUUUCACAGCAGAGUCUUACAUAUUUGAAAGUUGAAUCUAAGCCUUUCAAAACCUUUGUAAACGUGGUGUCAAUUGUAAGGUGUUACAUGCAACAGAGCUGGAUAGCAAUGUCGGCCAAAUUUUGUCAAUUUAGGCAAGUCGCACCAAUCUACCAUUGAAAGCUCUGGAGGCAGGGUGCCCAAUAAUUGACUCCAAUUUCCAAAUGAACACAAAGUCAUCUCGUCUACCAGGUCAGUAUGUAGCAUCACAAUUAUGCUAUAUAUAUGUAUAUUCUUUCGUUGUGCUACACUCAUUUUUAUCAUCGGCAACAUGAACACCUUAGGUUUUAUGGAAUGCUUUUAAAGAUCAUAAGAGCAAACUAACAGAUUGGUCGAUUCAUAUAUUGAGGGUUGUAUAUGGACAUAGAAAGUAAUGAAUGUUUAAAUUUCUGCUAGAUAAUUUUACAAUUAUAUAGAAUAUCAUAAAAACCUGAAUAGUAUUAAUUGGAUACAAGAAUAUUAUUGAAUUUCCCAUUAGCUUAAAAUUUCUCAAAUCCUAUAAUUUAAAUACUUUUUGCUACUUAAUAUACCUUCUUGUUAUUUUGGUUUUGUGUUGAAUUUUACUGUUUUGCAAUUUGGAAUUUUUCUGUACAUUACCGAGUUUGUAUAUUUUUAUAUAGGUGAUUUAAUUUUUCUUGCAUUUGAAAAAAAAAAAAAAAAUGUGAUCUUCUAUUUUUCUGACAUUUACAUCAUGUUCUUAUAUUUUGCAUCUUAGAAGGGCAGGUACACUCAUGAAUCCCAACCGCCUUGCAUAGGAGUAAAAAAGAUUGUCCACAGGCAGAGGUAAAAAGAUUCUUAAUCCUUCGUGAGGUUUUCCAUUAUUGUUAGACUAUUUAUUAGAUUUUUGGCUUCUACAUAAUUUACAAAAACCAUAAUUGGCAGAUGGUUUUAUGCUUGACCGAAUUGUUAAAAUUAUUUCAUGACGAGGCUGAAAAGGCUGGGGUGUUCCAACCCAGUUCCAGUUCUCUCUCGCCAGUUUUCAAGGAGCACAUCGUAGAUGGUAUGCUCACAGAACUCGCCUGCUUGCUUCUUCAGAUGCCUUCCGUGCAAUGUUUGAUGGUGAGAUUGAAGAUGUAAGUGUACUAAAUUGGAAGCUCAAGUAUUGAACAAUAUGAUUUACUUCAUUUGUUAGUUGGUAAAGACUUCGUAUCUCCCUAAAACCCAUUGUAUUUCUUCGGCUCUUUUUUCUUGAUUACUUGAGGAAAAAUGUACAUCCUCAUCUACAGAAAAACAAAGAAGAAAGAAGAGUGAAGUACUGAAUGUAGUGUGAUGAGUUGGAACAUGGAAAAUGAAUAUAUUUUUAUGUGAUUGUAUUUGUAUGAACAACUUAAUCCACAACUUUUUCUAUGUAAUGUAUUCUUCAAAUACCUAUCUGUUCAUUAUUACACAUAAGGAUGCAAAUAUACUUUGGUAAGGACGUA